CUAAAGCUAACUUUCAAAAUGAAUGUAUGAAGUGGAUAAACCACAUACAUCACGGUGGGCCCCAAGAGCCUCUUACAUGACCGUCCGUCGUGUAUAGCUCCGUGUGGGGGUAAUAAGCAAUCUGCACCCAAAAAAGGAGCCCGCAGGAUUUUUUUUUUUAUUCUCCCGGGCUCAAGGGUUUCACAUCUCCCUUUCUUGUGGCUGUCAUGGCCAGCCUGCUUUCCCUCCCAUCUCUAUUUCCCUCUCUCUCUGUCUGUCUACAUUUUAUCAUCCGAUCGGCUGCUUCUAGAUCUUUGCAAUCUCACUAAUCUCCAAAUGCUUAAGGUUGGGAAGGAUGGGUAAGGUUCCAGUUGAUGAAAUUCCAACAUCCCUUGAGGAGAAGGUUGCAGGGCAACGCCUUCAGAUUUUAUCAGGAACACAGGGUUAGAUGGUAAAGUGGUGAUAUGGGAUUUGUUUCAGCACUUCAGGAGUUUGUUCUUUUGAACCGUUCUCUUUCUACAAUUUUGAUGUCAGGGGUUCUUUGGAAAGGGAUGGUGUGACCAAAAGCCAAUUUUACUAGGUCUUACUGUAUGAACUAGAUGCAAUCCGGAAGCAUGCACAUCACUCGCGCCAAAUUACCAGCCUCCACCAACAUUUGUUGUUGUCCAAAAAUGACAAAAAGUUGAUAUAUAUUUCCUAGAACUUCGGUGGACUUCUAUUUGUGCAGCCAUGUGGGCAUUUAGUAGGAGCUGAAGUAGAUGAUGAUAGGAUUAAGUUGUGGCUUCUGGUGGUGGUGGCUUCAAAAUUGAAGAGGCCAUACUUUGAAGUGCAUCCAUUAUGUUCUAUCAACUUUCCCGGAAAGCAUUCCCCUACCAUGUGUCAUUUACUGCCAUGGAAAUAGUUAUUCUGCUUUUGAAGUUGUUCUCCCACAUGCUCCAACAUUGAUGACUGAUGUGUUCGGAAAUUAUGUUACUCAAAAGUUUUUUGAGCAUGGAAGCCCUAAGUAGAGAUAAGAACUAGCAAAUCAGCUUGCUGGUUGCAUUCUACCUGUGAGCCUUCAUAUAUAUGGGUGCCUGGUAAUUCAAAUGGUAUUAUUAUGGGUCAUUUGUUGGGUGGGGCUUGGCAUGUACUGUUUUCUUCUUUAUACAGUCAAAUAGUUCUUGGCAGCCAGCUUUUGGACUGUUCUAUAUACUACUCCUCAACAUUGAUCAAUGCACACACUAUAUAUGAGACAACUCAACAUUUAUGAGGAUACCAACAGCUAAUCUGGAUUCAAUUUGAUCAAUGUACACACUUUUUAUUGCUGCCUUACUGGUUGUAUAAUAGGUAAUUUGCGAUAUGGAUGCAUACUUCUAACAUGUUUGGAUCCUUUUUCUUGGAAGUGGAUCAAAAUGGUGCAUAGGUAGCAGUCCUAAAUAUUUUUUUUUUUGUUUAUAGUCUGAAUUUUGUUUUUUGUCUAAUUAGCUAGCAAUCAAAGGCCUCAAAUGUAUUUUUUUU